UACGGAGGGUGCUAGCGUUGUUCGGAAUCACUGGGCGUAAAGGGCGUGUAGGCGGUCUGUUAAGUCUGAUGUGAAAUCCCCUCGCUCAACGAGGGAACUGCGUCGGAUACUGGCAGACUCGAGUACCGGAGAGGAAGGUGGAAUUCCCGGUGUAGCAGUGAAAUGCGUAGAUAUCGGGAGGAACACCGGUGGCGAAGGCGGCCUUCUGGACGGAUACUGACGCUGAGACGCGAAAGCGUGGGGAGCAAACAGG
rnacentral:rRNA from 1 species